rnacentral:ncRNA from 21 species
UACAUGCUAAGAAGGGGCACACAGGUAAAGCAUUCUUCUGCCUCACCACUUUAUAGUUGCUCUACCUGUGUUGUUAUGUUACAACGACU